CCUACGGGAGGCAGCAGUGGGGAAUAUUGGACAAUGGGCGAAAGCCUGAUCCAGCAAUGCCGCGUGAGUGAUGAAGGCCUUAGGGUCGUAAAGCUCUUUUACCCGGGAUGAUAAUGACAGUACCGGGAGAAUAAGCCCCGGCUAACUCCGUGCCAGCAGCCGCGGUAAUACGGAGGGGGCUAGCGUUGUUCGGAAUUACUGGGCGUAAAGCGUGCGUAGGCGGUUAUUCAAGUCAGAGGUGAAAGCCCGGGGCUCAACCCCGGAACGGCCUUUGAAACUAGGUAGCUAGAAUCUUGGAGAGGUCAGUGGAAUUCCGAGUGUAGAGGUGAAAUUCGUAGAUAUUCGGAAGAACACCAGUGGCGAAGGCGACUGACUGGACAAGUAUUGACGCUGAGGCACGAAAGCGUGGGGAGCAAACAGGAUUAGAUACCCUGGUAGUCCACGCCGUAAACGAUGAUAACUAGCUGUUCGGGUACUUGGUAUCUGAGUGGCGCAGCUAACGCAUUAAGUUAUCCGCCUGGGGAGUACGGUCGCAAGAUUAAAACCUUAAAGGAAUUGACGGCUGGAGUAAGUGCGAGCGACGACGAGGGAGAGG
rnacentral:rRNA from 1 species